rnacentral:tRNA from 1 species
AAGAAAGUGACAGAGUGGUGAUGUGGCUGGCUUGAAACUAGCAUAUGGGGGUUCAAUUCCUUCCUUUCUUG